AAGUCGUAACAAGGUUUCCGUAGGUGAACCUGCGGAAGGAUCAUUAACGAGUUUUGAAAUGGGUUGUUGCUGGCCUUCCGAGGCAUGUGCACGCCCUGCUCAUCCACUCUACACCUGUGCACUUACUGUAGGUUGGCGUGGGUUUCUAGCCUCCGGGUUGGAAGCAUUCUGCCGGCCUAUGUAUACUACAAACUCUUAAAGUAUCAGAAUGUAAACGCGUCUAACGCAUCUUAAUACAACUUUCAGCAACGGAUCUCUUGGCUCUC
rnacentral:misc_RNA from 1 species